CACCAGCUCCCACACUCCAGACAUUCCCUGCCGGUGUUCCUCCCUCGGGGCUCCUCCCACCAUUGGGGUUCCUCCCACCUCAGAGCUCCUCCCACCCUCGGGCUCCGCCCACCCUCGGGGAUUCUGUCCUACUUUUCUUUGAUACAUUUGUGGUUUGGCUGGGCAUGGUGGCACACACGUUUAAUCCCAACAUAAGAGCAGAGGCAGGUGGAUAUCUGAGAGUUCGAGGUAGUUACCAAAAGCCAUCGGUCACUACUAUGAAGUAACAUUUUGGUGUGUACUCUCUACUAAAGUGAAUAUGUGUGAUACUUUGUCACCGAAGCUGCGGUUAGAUACACAUUGUUUUCUAUUUUGCACAUUUUAUCAGCUUCUUAAACUGUUAACUUUUUAUGAUAUGUUUUUAAACAGGUAUUUAAUAAUCUCAAGAUUCAAUUAGUAUUAAGUUAUGGUGUACACAGUGAGUUCUAGGACAGUCUGGGCAACGUAGUGAGACUCUGUCUCAAAAUAAAUAUUUUAAAAAUAGAUCUGUGUUUUGCAAUGCUCGGAAUCAGAUGCACGUCUCAUGUUACUAAGAGAACACUCUACGGUCUAACACGAACUACACCCCAGUCCCAUUCAAGGUAGUUCUUAGCACCUGUCCAGCAUGUGAACAGUAAGAGUGCCAGGUUGCCACCAACUUCACAAAAAACUAGCAAUUCACAGUUUAGAGUUCGUUGUUUACAUUGUCCACUAACCUCAGCAUGGAGUUUGUCUGGGGGUGGGUGGGGGGAGUCAGGCAUGUACUGUGUACAUUAAAAUCACACCCACCACACCCACACACCCCCAGCCAGCAUAUGGCUCGGUGAAUAAAUGUGCUUGCCACCAAGCUUGAUGAUUCUCUCCAAUUACUGGAAUCCAGAGAGAAAACCAACUCUUACAAGUUGUGUACACACACACACACACACACACACACAGAGAGAGAGAGAGAGAGAGAGAGAGAGAGAGAGAGAGAGAGAGAAUCAAGAAAUAAACAAAUAAAUAAAAAUUGUAAAAUAAUAAAAAAAAAAUUCCUCCACCCCAAGUGAGUACUAAUUCAAAGGAGGCGAAUAGUUACCUUAAUUCAACUUCUCUGUCUCUUAUGGAGUUAAAUUGUUUUGGGAACUCUGCUUAACCCUGACCUUUGACCUUUGCGAUAUGUGAGAUGUGUCAACAAACUGUGGGACCAAAGACCAAACUGGCAAGAUUUGGAGCUAGAAAAACAUGUCACAAAUUCAGGAAACUUCUGUCUACCUCUAGUUAAUUGUUCAGCUCCUUUACCAGGAAGGCAAUUUACACCAACCCCAAUACUUGUAAAAUGUGUUUCCUUGUCUUUAGUUUGUACAUGUGUUACUAACUGAAUAAUUCUGUAUUUUUAAACAGAUCUCUCAGGUUUUUUGUCAAAAAAAUAACCAGACCCAUUUUUGGUGAGAGAAAAGAAAUGCAAAAUUACAAGUCUUUUUAGGUACACUCGAAAUCUUUUGAGUGUGGGAUCUAUGGGGACAUUGCUUGAUGAAAUGGGGUAGCUGUCAGUCAUUCUCUCAGUAGUUUUUAAAAACAGAUUAGCAGGGUUGGGGUUAGAGUCUGUGGACUCAGGAAACAGUUCCUUUUAUGAUACAUUGAAACAUUAACAGAAUUCAAUGGGAUAGAAAUGCUAAAAAUUAUAUACAUUUAUAUGUUUUAAUCAACCUGGUCACUGUGAUGAUGACUUUAUAUACCUAACUACUCUUUGCUCUAAGAUCACAUGAGUAAAUUCCUUUUCACUUAAUAUGCAGUUUGCUUCCUCCCACCAAUAUUGGAAGAUCAUCACAGGUAGGCCACUCUAAGAUUAUCACAAGUAAAAGCUACUCCUGUAAGACGGUAACACUAUGUAUACCUUACAUCAUCAUUUCAGGGUGACAAGUAUGUAUAUGCACACACAUACAUUCUCCCACCCACACAAAGAAGAAAAGAGGAAAAGCCUGUGGGAAAAAAACACAAACUAUUAAAUGAUUCCACUGUGAUACAAUUAUUAAAAAUUACUAUAUUUGUUCUUUCAAAACUUUCUUUAAUGAACCCUUCUCCUGUGUACAUAUGCGCGCGCGUGUUUGUGUGUGUGUGUGCGCGCUAGUACAUCAUACACAAGCAUGUAUGCAUGUGUGAGUGAUGCCAGAGAUAAAAAUCCAGGACCUCAUAUAGUAUACAAGCACUCUUCCACUUCUAAUAUUCUUUCAUUAUCAAGUUCUAGCACAGUUGAGAUGAGUUAUUAAAUGCUGCACUUUUCUGGGCAUGGUGUCAUGUCUGUGAUCCCAGCAAUCCUGUAUUCCUCCCUUCUGAGAGGAAGUCAUGAAUUCUAGCCCAGUCCUACCUGCAUGAUGGGGUCUGUCUCAAAGACAACCAUAAGCAAAACAAAAAGACAAAA